AAAUAUUGUUAUUGAAUACAUUUAUUGAUUUUUAUUCAAAUUAGAAUGAUGAAAACAUUAACCCAGCUCGCUUUGAAAAGCCAUGAAGAGAAAUUUCCCAUAACCAACGCAAAAAUAAUGUUGCUGACAUUUAAAACCAAAAACUCUCUUCAUUUUCUUAAUCUCGUCUUCAUUGUUUAAACAAUAAACUAAUGUCUUAUAUUUUUCUUUCCAUUUACUAUUAGCAUUGUUUUUGAAUUGGAACAGGUGGACGGAGAGAAGGUGUUAUAAAAUUUACAAGGACUCGUCGAUGGAUUUGUUUACUGCACAUAAUUAAAAGGAUUCGAAGGCAACUUCACAGAAUACCACGAAAUUCGCCUUCGGCUACGACUGCUGUUGAUUUUCACCUUCGAAAGCCGGAAUAAGGUGAAUAAUUGAUAGCAUCAAACAUCGAUUAAAAUAAAAUUUGAAUAUUCAUGCUUGACGUAUCAUUUAUCCUUAACGAUUAGAUCGAUGUAUCAAUCUUUCUAAGCCUCGUAUUAAAUGAAACUAGAAGCGAUCUAUAUAAUCAUUAAUAUUCUUAUUCCACUCCAACCUUGUAUAGUUUCUUUUUAAAACCAUUUUUGAUUAUUUUUGUUUAGAUUACAUAUCUUUAUUGAAUAUGUAUAUGUUUGUAACAUUUUUGUGGUUUUUCUAACAAUCUUUCUAUU
rnacentral:sRNA from 1 species